AUUGAACGCUGGCGGCAUGCCUUACACAUGCAAGUCGAACGGCAGCGGACCUUCGGGUGCCGGCGAGUGGCGAACGGGUGAGUAAUGCAUCGGAACGUGCCAUUGAGUGGGGGAUAACGUAGCGAAAGUUACGCUAAUACCGCAUAUUCUGUGAGCAGGAAAGCAGGGGACCGCAAGGCCUUGCGCUCUUUGAGCGGCCGAUGUCAGAUUAGCUAGUUGGUGAGGUAAAGGCUUACCAAGGCGACGAUCUGUAGCGGGUCUGAGAGGAUGAUCCGCCACACUGGAACUGAGACACGGUCCAGACUCCUACGGGAGGCAGCAGUGGGGAAUUUUCGACAAUGGGCGCAAGCCUGAUCCAGCCAUGCCGCGUGAGUGAAGAAGG
rnacentral:rRNA from 1 species